rnacentral:rRNA from 1 species
GAUGAACGCUGGCGGCGUGCCUAAUACAUGCAAGUCGAGCGAACGGACGAGAAGCUUGCUUCUCUGAUGUUAGCGGCGGACGGGUGAGUAACACGUGGAUAACCUACCUAUAAGACUGGGAUAACUUCGGGAAACCGGAGCUAAUACCGGAUGAUAUUUUGAACCGCAUGGUUCAAUAGUGAAAGACGGUCUUGCUGUCACUUAUAGAUGGAUCCGCGCUGCAUUAGCUAGUUGGUAAGGUAACGGCUUACCAAGGCAACGAUGCAUAGCCGACCUGAGAGGGUGAUCGGCCACACUGGAACUGAGACACGGUCCAGACUCCUACGGGAGGCAGCAGUAGGGAAUCUUCCGCAAUGGGCGAAAGCCUGACGGAGCAACGCCGCGUGAGUGAUGAAGGUCUUCGGAUCGUAAAACUCUGUUAUUAGGGAAGAACAAAUGUGUAAGUAACUGUGCACGUCUUGACGGUACCUAAUCAGAAAGCCACGGCUAACUACGUG